GAUGAACGCUGGCGGCGUGCCUAUCACAUGCAAGUCGAGCGAUUCUCUUCGGAGAAGAGCGGCGGACGGGUGAGUAACGCGUGGGUAACCUGCCCUGUACACACGGAUAACAUACCGAAAGGUAUGCUAAUACGAGAUAAUAUACUUUUAUCGCAUGGUAGAAGUAUCAAAGCUUUUGCGGUACAGGAUGGACCCGCGUCUGAUUAGCUAGUUGGUAAGGUAACGGCUUAGCAAGGCGACGAUCAGUAGCCGACCUGAGAGGGUGAUCGGCCACAUUGGAACUGAGACACGGUCCAAACUCCUACGGGAGGCAGCAGUGGGGAAUAUUGCACAAUGGGCGAAAGCCUGAUGCAGCAACGCCGCGUGAGCGAUGAAGGCCUUCGGGUCGUAAAGCUCUGUCCUCAAGGAAGAUAAUGACGGUACUUGAGGAGGAAGCCCCGGCUAACUACGUGCCAGCCGCCGCCGUAA
rnacentral:rRNA from 1 species